ensembl:lncRNA
GUCUCCCGCAUUGCAGGAGGAUUCUUUACUUUCUGAGCCACCGAGGAAGCCCAUAUAUAUGUGUGUGUGUAUAUAUAUAUCUACAUCUUUUCUCUUGAUCAGAAGUUCGCAUGUGGUAUCCGAAUUAGCAGCGCCAGUUUCCCCCGAGAAAAUGUUAGACAUGCAGAUGGUGGGGCCUCAUCUAGAUCUACUUGAAUCUGAACUCUUGAGAGUGGGAUCUGUGGUUCAACAACCCCUCCAGGUGAUUCCUAUCCACGAUCAAGUUCGCGAAGCACUUGUAAGCUCACUCAAGUGGUGUAGAUGGUCAUCUUUAGGUUUGGCGGAGGAUGUGUCCUGGGUCGCUUUGGGCAGUAGGGAUAAAGUUGCGCAGGUCCCCUCCACCUCUCCCCCUCUCCCCCUAGCCUCUCCCAGCACCUGCAACUCCACUUCAGCUCUUGGCCUCGGGUCCUUUCCCCCGGGAGCCGCAGUCAAAACGCGGCAAGUGGAUUCGGAGUCUGCCUGCCAGAAUGCCGGCCGGGCAUGCGUAGUGGCGCCAGGGCAGCAGCUAGGCUGGCGCGACUGGGGAGCCGCAGAGCAGACUUGCGUGUGCCGGGAUCCGGAGCGGUAGCUGAGGGCUCAAGGGCAGAACGGCGGCUGCAGGUACGCUGCGCGGUGAGGCGGAGGGGAUCCGAGAGAAAGCCUGGACCGAUAGGCAGAAAACAGAGCUUUACUUCCUCGCCGGCUCGGCGGCUCCAGAGGAGUCUCUGCGGGUUUCCCUCGCUGGAGAGGUGUCUCCGGCGCCCGCCGACCUCCGGUUACUAUGGAUAAUGCUGCUAUGAACAUUUGUGAACAAGUUUCAAUGGGACACGUGUUUUCAUUUCUCUUGGGUAUAUACGUCAAAGUGGAAUUGCUGGUUCACUUGAUGACUCAACAGUAAACACUUAGAGGAACUGCCAGACCAUUUUCCAAGUUUCCUCAGGCUUCUCUGGUGGCUCAGUGCUAAAGAAUCUGCCUGCCAGUGCAGGAAACAUGGGUUCGCUAUCUGGUGAGGGAAGAUCCUGCAUGCUGUGGAGCAGCUGAGCCCAUGUGCCACAACUAGUGGGUCUGUGCUCCAGAACCCAGGAACUGCGACUACGGAAGCUCACCUCCCACAGCUACUGAAGCGUGUGUGCCCUGAGCCCAUGCUCUGCAACAAGAGAAAAGCCCAUGCAGCAGUGAAGACCCAGCAGAGCCAAAAAUAAAGAAUAAAUAAAUUUUAAAAAGUUAAAAAAAUUUCCUCAUUAAAAGGGAGUCCUCAGGUUGGGGCUAUUCUGGGGAAAGGUGUCACCAUGCACAACAAACUAACUUUAUUAUCAUUUUUUUUUCAAACUAACUUUAAAAAGCAUGUUGAUUAAAAAAAAAUGUGAGUGCACUUGGGAAUUCCUUGAAUUCUGUGCAAUAAACAUUUUUAAAACAAAAAAACAGCAAAAAAAAAAAAAAAAGACCCUAGCUGGGCUGCAUAGAUUGGAGCAGCCCCUCUUGUUCUCUGUCUGAAAAUGGUUCUCUGUUGUUUGAGAACAGCUCUUAAGCACACAGGAGAGCCCCACCUCAGGCUCUUUAUGUUGACACCAUGUUCACUCAUCAAAUGUUUACUGAACACAGUCUGGGCCAGGCACUGAGCUAGGCCCCACAGCCUCUGCCCUCAUAGAAACAGCAGUCUAGACCAAAGGUUGGCAAACUCUGUAAAGGGACAGAUAAUAAGUACUUAUCUGGGUUAUGGUCUCUGUCUCGACUACCUAAUUCUGCUCAAAAGCUGUUGUAGACAGGAUGUAAGUGAAUGAGCUUGUCUGUGUUCCAGUGAACUUUAUUUGUGGGCACUCACAUUUUGAUUUUUUACUGUCACAUGUCACAAACUAUUAUUC